GAUGAACGCUGGCGGCAUGCCUAACACAUGCAAGUCGAUCGGUAAGGCUCUUCGGAGUACACGAGAGGCGGACGGCUGCGUAACGCGUAGGAACACACCCUGCAGUGAGGGAUAAGACACCGAAAGGUGUUCUAAUACCGCAUACGGUCUUCGGAUUAAAGCAUUUAUGCGCUGAAGGAGUGGCCUGCGUCAUAUUAGAUAGUUGGUGAGGUAAUGGCUCACCAAGUCGAUGAUGUGUAGCUGGUCUGAGAGGAUGAUCAGCCAGACUGGAACUGAGACACGGUCCAGACUCCUACGGGAGGCAGCAGUGAGGAAUAUUUCACAAUGAGCGAAAGCUUGAUGGAGCAAUGCCGCGUGCAGGAUGAAGGCCCUCGGGUUGUAAACUGCUUUUAUAAGAGAAGAUUAUGACGGUAACUUAUGAAUAAGGGACGGCUAACUACGUG
rnacentral:rRNA from 1 species